GACGAACGCUGGCGGCGUGCUUAACACAUGCAAGUCGAGCGAUGAAACCUAGCUUGCUAGGUCGAUUAGUGGCGAACGGGUGAGUAACACGUGACUAACCUGCCCCUUUCUCUGGGAUAACGCUCCGAAAGGAGUGCUAAUACCGGAUACUCACACCUAGGCACAUGCCUUGGGGUGGAAAGUUUUUCGGAAAGGGAUGGAGUCGCGGCCUAUCAGCUUGUUGGGGAGGUAACGGCUCACCAAGGCGACGACGGGUAGCCGGCCUGAGAGGGCGACCGGCCAAACUGGGACUGAGACACGGCCCAGACUCCUACGGGAGGCAGCAGUGGGGAAUAUUGCACAAUGGGCGCAAGCCUGAUGCAGCGACGCCGCGUGAGGGAUGAAGGUCUUCGGAUUGUAAACCUCUUUCAGUAGGGACGAAGCGAAAGUGACGGUACCUAAAGAAGAAGCACCGGCUAACUACGUGCCAGCCGCCGCCGUAA
rnacentral:rRNA from 1 species